rnacentral:rRNA from 1 species
GACGAACGCUGGCGGCGUGCUUAACACAUGCAAGUCGAGCGAGGCCCCUCCUUCGGGAGGGUGUCCUAGCGGCGAACGGGUGAGUAACACGUGGGCAACCUGCCCUCAGCCCUGGGAUAACUCCGGGAAACCGGGGCUAAUACCGGAUACGACCUCCACGGGCAUCUGCGGAGGUGGAAAGUUUUUCGGCUGAGGAUGGGCCCGCGGCCUAUCAGCUAGUUGGUGGGGUAGUGGCCCACCAAGGCGACGACGGGUAGCCGGCCUGAGAGGGCGACCGGCCACACUGGGACUGAGACACGGCCCAGACUCCUACGGGAGGCAGCAGUGGGGAAUAUUGCGCAAUGGGCGAAAGCCUGACGCAGCGACGCCGCGUGAGGGACGAAGGCCUUCGGGUUGUAAACCUCUUUCAGCAGGGACGAAGCGAAAGUGACGGUACCUGCAGAAGAAGCACCGGCCAACUACGUG